AUUGAACGCUGGCGGCAGGCCUAACACAUGCAAGUCGAACGAGUGGCGGACAGGUGAGUAAUGUCUGGGAAACUGACUGAUGGAGGGGGAUCACUGCUGGAAACGGUCGCUAAUACCGCAUACCAGCAGCUGUGCCCCGAUGGGAUUUGCUAGUGGGUGGGGUAACGGCUAACCAAGGCGCCGAUCCCUAGCGGGUCUGAGAGGAUGACCAGCCACACUGGAACUGAGACACGGUCCAGACUCCGACGGGAGGCAGCAGUGGGGAAGAUUGCGCAAUGGGCGCAAGCCUUAUGCAGCCAUGCCGCGUGUAUGAAGAAGGCCUUCGGGUUGUAAAGUACUUUCAGCGGGGAGGCGUUACCCGCAGAAGAAGCACCGGCUAACUCCGUGCCAGCAGCCGCGGUAAUUC
rnacentral:rRNA from 1 species